CACUGACAUUAGAUACCCCUGUAGUCCCAGCCGUAAACUAUGCGCGUUAGGUGUACUGGUGACCACGAGUCACCGGGGUGCCGAAGGGAAACCGUGAAACGUGCCGCCUGGGAAGUACGGUCGCAAGGCUGAAACUUAAAGGAAUUGGCGGGGAGCACCACAACAGGUGGAGCCUGCGGUUUAAUUGGACUCAACGCCGGGAAGCUCACCGGAUAGGACAGCAGAAUGAUUGCCGGGCUGAAGACCCUGCAUGACUAGCUG
rnacentral:rRNA from 1 species